rnacentral:rRNA from 1 species
UACGGAGGGUGCAAGCGUUAUCCGGAUUCACUGGGGUUAAAGGGUGCGUAGGUGGGUUGAUAAGUCAGUGGUGAAAUCCCCGAGCUUAACUUGGGAACUGCCAUUGAUACUAUUGAUCUUGAAUACCGUGGAGGUCAGCGGAAUAUGUCAUGUAGCGGUGAAAUGCUUAGAUAUGACAUAGAACACCAAUUGCGAAGGCAGCUGGCUACGCGAAUAUUGACACUGAUGCACGAAAGCGUGGGGAUCAAACAGG